rnacentral:rRNA from 1 species
AUGUCCAUCAUGAAUUUUCUUAAAUGGGCCAUUGAUGCCAUUAAUACACAGAUGUCUCACUUUUUUUGGGGUAACAUGGGGGAUACUCAUAAAUAUCACCUUGCCAAUUGGGGCUUAAUUGCUAAGAGAAAGGAAUUUGGGGGAGUGGGGGUCCCAAAUCUCAGAGAAUACAACAUGGCCCUUCUGGCCUCAUUGGGGAGAAGGUUUCAUGAUGGGAGAGAUAGUGACUGGAAAAAAAUCAUUAGCUUCAAAUAUGCCACUCAUAAGCCCAAUAUCUAUUGGGGCAAACCUGGAUUGGGUUCUCCUUUUUGGAAAAGCUUAACCUGGUCUCUAGAAGCUGCUAGAACUUUUGUUAGCUGGGUACCUGGGAAUGGUGAGAGCAUUGCCUUCUGGCAUGAUACCUGGAUUGGGGAAUGUUCCCUAAAAACCAAAUUUGGGGAGCUUUUUGACAUCUGUCAACAACAAGAUGCCACCAUUGCCCAGGUGUGGGAUGGUAAUACUCUACAACUAACUUUUAGAAGAUGUGUGGAUGGUCUCACCAUGAUCAAGUAG